rnacentral:tRNA from 1 species
UAGAUUGAAGCCAGUUUAGGGUGUUUAGC